CGGGUAGGGUGGCCGAGCAGGUGGCAAGUUGUAGCCUUUGUUUACGGGGCGCAGCCCCCCCCAGGUCCC
rnacentral:tRNA from 1 species